AUGUCGGCUGCCAUACCCCAUUCGUGUCAAGUUCUCUGGGGGCUCGGCCACACCGGCCUGACUGCUGAGCGGCUACUCCUCAGCAGCACUCUGACCCUGAGCAAAGCAUGCUGGGAAGAGGGAGGCAUAGUCAAUUAUUUAAACCACAGUACAAAGAAUUUCAGCUUGGCCAAUGUUCAGGAGGUUUUUGUACGAGCAGUAAUAGGAAUUGUAUCACUGUGGGUCACUUUUGGUAGCGGCACCAGACUAGAUGUUGGAAGUAACAGAGUCCCCAUCCUCACCGUCCUGCCCCCCUCUAGUGAGGAGCUGUCCAGUAAGUCAACAGCCACACUGACGUGUCUGGCCAACAAGGGCUUCCCCUCAGACUGGACCAUGAGCUGGAAAGUGGACGGGACCAGCAAGAAGCAGGAGGCCAGUCCCAGGGUCCAGGAGAAGGAUGGCCUGUACAGCUGGAGCAGCACACUGACUCUCACUGCCCAGGAGUGGACCAAGGCAGGAGAGGUGACCUGUGAAGCCCAGCAGAAAUCCCAGACUCCAGUCACCAAGACCCUGAGGAGGGCUAACUGUUCUGGGUAGGACCCCUCAGUCACACACCCCUGUGGAGAGAGGAUACUGGUUCCUCUGCUUUGACUUGCUUCGUUUUAAAAUCAGUCGCUCUUCAAUAUAGUGAUCACUCUGGUGUAGACUAACAGGGGGCUUGGCUUGAGUUCAUGUGUCAAUCCAUUCUGUAGAUUGAAAUGUUGUUAGUUUUAGAUUUGAUGUGAUCUGCUUUUAUUCACUAUCAUGUUUGCUUUGAUGCUUCGAUUGUGUGAUAAUGGAUUAAAAUAAAGAUUUCUUUUUGGAAUGUA